rnacentral:rRNA from 1 species
GUCCACGCUGUAAACGAUGUGUGCUAGGUGUCGCGGGAUUUGACUUCUGCGGUGCCGUAGCUAACGCGUUAAGCACACCGCCUGGGGAGUACGGCCGCAAGGCUAAAACUCAAAGGAAUUGACGGGGCCCGCACAAGCGGUGGAGCAUGUGGUUUAAUUCGACGCAACGCGCAGAACCUUUACCCCAGGCUAGAAAAGUAGAGAAGUCUGUAGAAAUACGGAUGUGCCUUUCGGGGAGCUCUAAUCCAGGUGCUGCAUGGCUGUCGU